AGAGUUUGAUCAUGGCUCAGAUUGAACGCUGGCGGCAGGCCUAACACAUGCAAGUCGAGCGGUAGCACAGAGAGCUUGCUCUCGGGUGACGAGCGGCGGACGGGUGAGUAAUGUCUGGGAAACUGCCUGAUGGAGGGGGAUAACUACUGGAAACGGUAGCUAAUACCGCAUAAUGUCGCAAGACCAAAGUGGGGGACCUUCGGGCCUCAUGCCAUCAGAUGUGCCCAGAUGGGAUUAGCUAGUAGGUGGGGUAAUGGCUCACCUAGGCGACGAUCCCUAGCUGGUCUGAGAGGAUGACCAGCCACACUGGAACUGAGACACGGUCCAGACUCCUACGGGAGGCAGCAGUGGGGAAUAUUGCACAAUGGGCGCAAGCCUGAUGCAGCCAUGCCGCGUGUGUGAAGAAGGCCUUCGGGUUGUAAAGCACUUUCAGCGGGGAGGAAGGCGUUAAGGUUAAUAACCUUGGCGAUUGACGUUACCCGCAGAAGAAGCACCGGCUAACUCCGUGCCAGCAGCCGCGGUAAUACGGAGGGUGCAAGCGUUAAUCGGAAUUACUGGGCGUAAAGCGCACGCAGGCGGUCUGUCAAGUCGGAUGUGAAAUCCCCGGGCUCAACCUGGGAACUGCAUUCGAAACUGGCAGGCUAGAGUCUUGUAGAGGGGGGUAGAAUUCCAGGUGUAGCGGUGAAAUGCGUAGAGAUCUGGAGGAAUACCGGUGGCGAAGGCGGCCCCCUGGACAAAGACUGACGCUCAGGUGCGAAAGCGUGGGGAGCAAACAGGAUUAGAUACCCUGGUAGUCCACGCCGUAAACGAUGUCGAUUUGGAGGUUGUGCCCUUGAGGCGUGGCUUCCGGAGCUAACGCGUUAAAUCGACCGCCUGGGGAGUACGGCCGCAAGGUUAAAACUCAAAUGAAUUGACGGGGGCCCGCACAAGCGGUGGAGCAUGUGGUUUAAUUCGAUGCAACGCGAAGAACCUUACCUGGUCUUGACAUCCACAGAACUUAGCAGAGAUGCUUUGGUGCCUUCGGGAACUGUGAGACAGGUGCUGCAUGGCUGUCGUCAGCUCGUGUUGUGAAAUGUUGGGUUAAGUCCCGCAACGAGCGCAACCCUUAUCCUUUGUUGCCAGCGGUUAGGCCGGGAACUCAAAGGAGACUGCCAGUGAUAAACUGGAGGAAGGUGGGGAUGACGUCAAGUCAUCAUGGCCCUUACGACCAGGGCUACACACGUGCUACAAUGGCAUAUACAAAGAGAAGCGACCUCGCGAGAGCAAGCGGACCUCAUAAAGUAUGUCGUAGUCCGGAUUGGAGUCUGCAACUCGACUCCAUGAAGUCGGAAUCGCUAGUAAUCGUAGAUCAGAAUGCUACGGUGAAUACGUUCCCGGGCCUUGUACACACCGCCCGUCACACCAUGGGAGUGGGUUGCAAAAGAAGUAGGUAGCUUAACCUUCGGGAGGGCGCUUACCACUUUGUGAUUCAUGACUGGGGUGAAGUCGUAACAAGGUAACCGUAGGGGAACCUGCGGUUGGAUCACCU
rnacentral:rRNA from 3 species